GACGAACGCUGGCGGCGUGCCUAAUACAUGCAAGUCGAGCGCAGGAAACUGACGGAACUCUUCGGAGGGAAGGCAGUGGAAUGAGCGGCGGACGGGUGAGUAACACGUAAGGAACCUGCCUCAAGGAUUGGGAUAACUACGAGAAAUCGGAGCUAAUACCGGAUAGUUCAACGGACCGCAUGGGCCGCUGCUGAAAGGCGCUCCGGAGUACGCUUGAGAUGGCCUUGCGGUGCAUUAGCUAGUUGGGGGGGUAAUGGCCCACCAAGGCGACGACGCAUAGCCGACCUGAGAGGGUGAUCGGCCACACUGGGACUGAGACACGGCCCAGACUCCUACGGGAGGCAGCAGUAGGGAAUCUUCCACAAUGGACGAAAGUCUGAUGGAGCAACGCCGCGUGAGUGAUGAAGGUUUUCGGAUCGUAAAACUCUGUUGUAAGGGAAGAACACGUACGAGAGGGAAUGCUCGUACCUUGACGGUACCUUACGAGAAAGCCACGGCUAACUACGUGCCAGCAGCCGCCGUAAGAC
rnacentral:rRNA from 1 species